rnacentral:lncRNA from 1 species
AACUGCUGUCAAUUCUUGGAAAUGACUGAUAAUUGGUCAGGAGGAAGAACUCCCAUCAGCCAUCAGCACUUCUAACUUCCCCUCUUUCUUCAGCUUUGCUUUAAAGGUAAAGCUACCCCAUGACAGUUUUUCAUCACCUAUUUUCUGAGGGGGAGAUGGAGAUAGCAGUGCAAGUGGGGUGCACAGUGUGCUGUUUGGAGGAAUGGGACAUGCAGAGGGACAACUAAUAUUCACCUCUGAGGAAGGAAAUGAAAUCAGCAAUGUUUCUAUGGCAGUCUCCUCUCCCUUUCCUUCCUCAAGUAACAACCCUCUGCAGACAUAAAGCAUGACUUUUAUACAUGCUUACCACAAAAUUUCAGUAUUUCAAGGAAUAGUUAGAGAGUUCAGUGCCUUGCAAUGCUGUUCUUCUAACAAUGCACAUUUUGCUGGCCCAUGGGGGUCUGCUCUGAUGCCAUCACAAGUUCCAUAGACCAUAUGUCCUGUGGAUAGAUUUCAAUCUCUUGCACAUUUGAGUGGGACUGUGGGAAUUACAUGACCUCAGCUGUCCCUCCUAUCCCUGUGUUCAUAAAAGGCAGGUUCCACAAACUCUCAUGUGCGGUUUCUGCUGCACCGAGUACAAUCAAUCUACAGUCUUUGGGAAUAUGUUACUUGCCUUUGAUCUGGAUUAUGCCUUUCCAAAGACAAGUGCCUUCCUGCAGGUACAAGCCUCAGAAAUGUGACCCAGGACUGCACCUCCCUGAGGUGCCAGUGAGUAUAAGCUGAUGUCUCUUUAUGUGUCUGCUAUGGAAGAUGGAGGUGCCACCCUCCUUUGAUUUCAUGACUUCAUGCCUGCAGCAACCAGCUGGAAUAAGAAAGCAACAAGUUCUUCACUCUUUUCAACCAGAAAGCAUCAAAUUCCUAUCAGUAAUCAUGAUGUUGUUAGUUCCUGCAUUAGGUACAGUUCAAAUUUAGAAAUUUCAUCAGCUCCUGAGACCCAUCCCUGUUACAUGGGCUGGAGAUUUGCCAGCGUGCCCCGCAGCUUGUUUUCCACCCACUGCUCCCAGCAUGCCUGUACAGACACACCACAAGAUGCAGCAGAGUAAAAAGCUGCACAAUUCUCUCUGAAAAGGUUCUGUUCCUACCCUUCCACACACUGUGCUCCCCUUGUGUCCACCACUACACAGAGAUGAUCUCACGGUGGUGGCACUUACAUUUAACAGUGCUACAAAGUGGCUUGAUCCUGUGAAUUCAGUGCCUGAAAAGGUUCAGCAAAAUAUGCUUGGGAGUAAAAUUAAUCUGUUUGAAUCGUAUCUAAUAUGUCUGAUGAAACACUCACGUGCUUUGCAUUUAGACAGCCAUGUGUCUGUGUUUUCUCAGUCCAGUGCAUUAUCUAGUUAAGAGUCAGCUCUUAAAUAAGGAAAUGUCUUGCUUGAGAUUAAAGUGCAUUCUGAGUAUAAUCUGAAUCACGUGCUCUAAGAGUUUUGUUCCUAGGAGGGCAGCCAGCAAUUUAAAUAAAAUGAGAUCAUGCAGUACUGUACA